UACGGGGGGGGCUAGCGUUGUUCGGAAUUACUGGGCGUAAAGGGCGCGUAGGCGGUCUGCUAAGUUGGAUGUGAAAACUCUGGGCUUAACCCAGAGCCUGCAUUCAAUACUGACAGGCUAGAGUUCUGGAGGGGAUAGCGGAAUUCCUGGUGUAGCGGUGAAAUGCGUAGAUAUCAGGAGGAACACCGGUGGCGAAGGCAGCUCGCUGGGACGGUACUGACGCUGAGACGCGAAAGCGUGGGGAGCAAACAGG
rnacentral:rRNA from 1 species